CCCCGCAUCGAAUGAACUACGACGUGCGAGUCAUUGUAGUAAACAAGGCAGACGGCUCAGUUACGCGUCCUUUUCUACCCUAUGGACGGGGAUAACCUCAGGAAACUGACCCUAAUACCCGAUAUAACAUUAUGCCUGGAAUGGUUUAUGUUCCAAAUGAUUUAUCGCCGUAGGAUGGGACUGCGGCCUAUCUUCUUGUUGGGGAGGUAAUGGCCCACCAAGACUAUUACAGGUACGGGCUCUGAUAGGAGUGGCCCGGAGAUGGGUACUGAUACACGGACCCAGGCCCUAUGGGGCGCAUCAGACAGAGAAAACUUUGCAAUGUGCGAAAGCGCGACUAGGUUAAUCCGAGUGGUUUCUGCUAAAGAGACCUUUUGUCUUUCCUAGAAACACCGAUGAAUAAGGGGUGGGCAAGUUCUGGUGUCAGCCGCCGCGGUAAAACCAGCACCUCAAGUGGUCAGGAUGAUUAUUGGGACUAAAGCAUCCGUAGCCGGCUCUGUUAGUUUUCGGUUAAAUCUGGACGCUCAACGUACAGGCUGCCGGGAAUACUGCAGAGCUAGGGAGUGGGAGAGGUAGACGGUCACUCGGUAGGAAGGAGUAAAAUCCUUUGAUCUAUUGAUGACCACCUGUGGCGAAGGCGGUCUACCAGAACACGUCCGACGGUGAGGGAUGAAAGCUGGCGGAGCACACCCGAUUAGACUCCCGGGUAGACCCAGCUGUAAACUAUGCAAACUCAGUGAUGCGCUGGUUUGUUGCCAAUGCAGUGCUGCAGAGAAGCCAUUUAAGUUUGCCGCCUGGGAAGUACGUACGCAAGUAUGAAACUCCAAGGAAUUGA
rnacentral:rRNA from 1 species